UGUUACAAUUGUCUUCACUGAGAGAAGAAGGCUGCGCUCACCUGGAUCCAAACUGAGAGCACAGGCGGUGCAAGGAACAAAGCACUGAUCCAAUAGAAAAAAGUUUACAAAGCCCAGAAUACAGAAAUAUAAAAUCCAGCUUUUAUUGUUCCAAGACGUAAA